rnacentral:rRNA from 1 species
UAGCGUAGGGGGCAAGCGUUGUCCGGAAUUAUUGGGCGUAAAGAGCGUGUAGGCGGUCCGGUAAGUCGGCUGUGAAAGUCCAGGGGCUCAACCCUGGGAUGCCGGUCGAUACUGCCGGACUAGAGUUCGGAAGAGGCGAGUGGAAUUCCCGGUGUAGCGGUGAAAUGCGCAGAUAUCGGGAGGAACACCUAUGGCGAAGGCAGCUCGCUGGGACGUUACUGACGCUGAGACGCGAAAGCGUGGGGAGCAAACAGG